rnacentral:rRNA from 1 species
UACGGGGGGGGGUAAGCGUUGUUCGGAAUUACUGGGCGUAAAGGGCUCGUAGGCGGCCAACUAAGUCAGACGUGAAAUCCCUCAGCUUAACUGGGGAACUGCGUCUGAUACUGGAUGGCUUGGAUUCGGGAGAGGAAUGCGGAAUUCCAGGUGUAGCGGUGAAAUGCGCAGAUAUCGGGAAGAACACCCGUGGCGAAGGCGGCUCUCUGGGACGGUACUGACGCUGAGACGCGAAAGCGUGGGGAGCAAACAGG